AUUGAACGCUGGCGGCAGGCCUAACACAUGCAAGUCGAACGAGCGGCGGACGGGUGAGUAAUGUCUGGGGAUCUGCCUGAUGGAGGGGGAUAACUACUGGAAACGGUAGCUAAUACCGCAUACCAUCGGAUGAGCCCAAAUGGGAUUAGCUUGUAGGUGGGGUAAAGGCUCACCUAGGCGACGAUCCCUAGCUGGUCUGAGAGGAUGACCAGCCACACUGUAGCUGUGACACGGUCCAGAUGCCUAGGGUAGGCAGCAGUGGUGAAUAUUGCACAAUGGUCGUAAGCCUGAUGCACCCAUGCCGCGUGUAUGAAGAAGGCCUUCGUGUUUUAAAGUACUUUCCGCGGGCAGGCGUUUCCCGCAGAAGAAUCUCCGGCUCACUCCGGUCCCGCAGCCGCGGUAAUAC
rnacentral:rRNA from 1 species